GGAAGGGAAGGGGGGGGAGAGAGAAGCGAUCGCGAGAAAAAAAAAAUGCAACCUCCCAAAAUAAAGAGCAAAGAUUGCAUUAGGAGCGAACAGCGCUGCAGAAAUAGAUGGCAGCUUCGUGUCAGUGAGUUUGCAUCCCCCUUCCUGAUCCACGAGCUGGAGUGAUUAGAGCCCUGGAAGGGAAUUGUUACUCCCGUGGAGAAGUCCCCUUUUCCUGGCAGCCGUCUGCACUUGUACACGCUGGAUGCCUCUCUCCAUCCACCCCACUCACUCUCUCCUCUCUCACCUCCUCUCUUCCUCUCUCCUGCAUUGAUUUUUUUUUUUUUUUCCUUUUUAGUUGACUGAAACAAAACAAAACAAAAGGGCCACUGGAUGUCUGCCUUCUUGGGGGGUGAGCCAGACAGACUGACAAACAAACAGACCCAACUGUGUUCGGGGGAGGGUUUCUCCUCCCGUUUUGCCCGGCAGCAGCAGCAUGGACGUGUUGGCUAGUUAUAGUAUAUUCCAGGAGCUACAACUUGUCCACGACACCGGCUACUUCUCAGCUUUGCCAUCCCUGGAGGAGACCUGGCAGCAGACAUGCCUUGAAUUGGAACGCUACCUACAGACGGAGCCUAGGAGGAUCUCGGAGACCUUCGGGGAGGACUUGGACUGUUUCCUCCAUGCUUCUCCUCCCCCGUGCAUUGAGGAAAGCUUCCGGCGCUUGGACCCGCUGCUGCUCCCGGUGGAAGCCACCAUCUGCGAGAAGAGCUCGGCAGUGGACAUUCUGCUCUCUCGGGACAAGUUGCUAUCUGAGACCUGCCUCAGCCUCCAGCCAACCAGCUCUUCUCUAGACAGCUACACAGCCGUCAACCAGGCCCAGCUCAACGCAGUGACCUCAUUAACGCCCCCGUCGUCCCCUGAGCUCAGCCGCCAUCUGGUCAAAACCUCACAGACUCUCUCAGCCGUGGAUGGCACGGUGACGUUGAAACUGGUGGCCAAGAAGGCUGCGCUCGGCUCAGUCAAGGUGGGAGGGGUGGCAACGGCAGCAGCGGCCGUGGCGGCAGCUGGGACAGUUAAGAGCGGACAGAGCGACAGUGAGCAAGGAGGGGUGGGGGCCGAGGCGUGCCCCGAAAACAAGAAGAGGGUUCACCGCUGUCAGUUUAACGGGUGCCGGAAAGUUUAUACAAAAAGCUCCCACCUAAAGGCCCACCAGAGGACUCACACAGGUGAGAAGCCUUAUAAGUGCUCAUGGGAAGGGUGUGAAUGGCGUUUUGCACGAAGCGAUGAGCUCACGAGGCACUACAGGAAACACACAGGUGCAAAGCCCUUUAAAUGCAACCACUGCGACAGGGCAGCUUGUUAACAUCAUAACGAGAAUGUUGGACUGCGAGCAUGUCUUGGGCCUCUGGAGAGCCUGGGAAUAUCCUCACAGGUGUUUUUCCAGGUCUGACCAUCUUGCCCUCCACAUGAAGAGACAUAUCUAAAACCCCUAAAGGCCAGAGUUGCCAUGGCGUCGGCCGUUGUCUGAAGGAAAUGCCGUGAGGCAGGGGGCUGGACUUCAGGCGGGGAUCCAUUGCCUCGCAGAAGAAAGUUCUCACUCAUAAACCUCUGUGUACACGCACACACACACACACACACACAGACACACACACACACACAUGCACUCACAUAGACCCACACACACGCACUGUCAUGCACUCAGCUAUAUUUAAAAUAUAUACGUCUAUUCUUUAUGCCUUGCCCUUGCCAGAUGGUAGAAGACGAAGAAGAAGGAAACCAGGUGAACUCAGCAAGGCAGACUGGCUGCUUACUUCAGCACUAUUGGAAUUAUUUCCCGCUGUUGCCAAUGGAAAUCAAAGAAAACGGAUGUGACGUCUCUGCAGGUGGACGGCAGUAAGAGGGGCUUAUUUAACUUGCUUCUCAGUGCAACUUGAUAGGAGAAUACAACGUCGUAAAGUUGCAUAUGUGUAGCACUAAUGUUUCUUUUUAAAUAGUUGGGGGAAAAUGACCUAGAAAACCAAAUUGCAGUUUGGUAGCCAAAAUUAACUCUUGGUUUAUUUGUCCUUUGUGUGUGAAAAGUCCUCCUAUUCCGUGCGUCCGACUUCCUCACAGAACUGUUGAUCGGUUUUGGUUCUCCUUAGUACUAUUGAGAUCUUUCGAGUCGAUACCAACGGCCUUAGCGGCGGCAGACUGGAAUAACACCAUACACCUUUCUGGCCUGCAUUUCUCUAGACUUCACUCUCAAGGGAGGAGUUUUCUUUUCUUACUUUUUGACUCUUGCACACCAUAUGCACUAGGGAUUCUGGAAACUUCUAGCAUGACUGCAAAGUGGCCAAGAGAAUAAAGUCCUUGAUGAUAAGUCACAGUAUAUCCCUUGAGCCUCACCUUAUUGCCAGUGCUAGAUUUUUUCUUUUUAAUCUCUGUUUUUGCUAACGAAAACUUGAAAAGCUUAUUUGGAAGCUUAAAUGUUUUAUCUUUUCUCCAUGGACUAAACCUCUCCAGGACUUUCUCGGCACCUGGAUGUCCAGCUCUCGAAGCAGCCAAUCAGAUGGGACAUCACAGUUCUCUCAUCCCCCUUGAGGCAUCAUGACCUCAGCGCAUAGUGAUCAACCCCGUGCUGGGUGUCAUUGCUGCCCUAUAACCAGUCUCAGCAUAGAUGUUGCUAGUCUCAAAAGGGCAGCUGCAUAUUUAACCUAACUCUGGGUUAUGACCUGACAAAAAGCCAAAAAAUAUCACUCUUUCCAGGAGUGGGGAAAACUGAGGAUGCCUCCUGAGUCUAGUGGCUUCCGAAAAUAUCAUCCUAUCUUCCUCUCUCAUACCCACUGAGCUCAUACUCCCCCACUUGUUAAAACACACAAUUCAAAAUGCCAUUGUGGGAAUGAAGGGUGGACAUUUAAGGAAAGGGUUGAGAAGUUUCUCUCAUGGUCUGUCUGAAAGGAGAGACAUGUUUCUAAUUCUUUUUGGCUAGACCCACCAUGACUUUGUGACCUAGAGCACCCAGGAUCAACAGAGGCCUCACAUUUACUCUGCAAAAGCUGACUCCAAGGGGGUUCACAUUCCUCACUUUUCAUCCCACACACAUCCAAUAUCGGUCUCUAUCUACCCGCAUUCUUAGCUAGCUGGCACUGGCCUCAACUCCAAAGACUGCCUUUAGGACCAUUAAAUGGCCUAUGCAAGCAAGCGGGGUGGUUAUUAGGACAGAUUGUAUAUUUUGUAUAUUCUGGGACCAUCCCUUCAAGACACGUCUAAAAAACAAAAAUGGCAUUUGGUCCGCACAUGGUUGCUGCUCCUUCAUACCAGCUGGCUCCCCUUCUGCCCUCCUUUGACUGUUUGACUCAUUGACUGUUAAAAUGCCGCCCCAUACCUAUUUGGGAUGCAAAACUGAAGUCUUUAAAAGGAAAUAAUAAUAUAAGAAACACAAAUACAUGUAUGACAGCAACCUUCAAGAUCCUUGGCAUUUGGUUUCUCAGCUUUCUACAACCUUUGACUUCCCCGAAAUGUUGAAAGUGCCCGUCAAAGGGUAAAGGAGCCUCCUGAUUACAAAUGCGGUAGCUACCGAUGGGACACCUGGGCAUUCUGAGGUCUGGCCCUUAAAGUUUUCUUUCUCUUUUCCCCUUUUUCAAUGUAGACCAAAAACCAAAACAACAGCAACAACAGCAACAACAACAAGAACAAAAACCAACAACAACAACAACAAAAAAAAAGAAAAACCACCCUAAAACACACACACAUAAAAUCUGCCCAUUUGCCGGAGGCAAUUCUGUAUAUGUUAGUUGGAGGGUAUUUAAAAAAAAAAAAAAAUCAGUUUUAUUCCAAAGAUUUAAAACUAGACAUGACUUAGAAACAUUUUCUGGAGCACUGCUUGCUGACAAUCUCGUAGUUCUCUACUGCAUUUGAGUGCAUUUUGUGGCCAGUCCAUCAGGGCGUAUCAUGGGAUUAUAUUUGAAUGUGUGGUGCAUCCUUUCUGGAUGAAGGAUGUGUGAGGGACCUUAAACCUCAGCUGUAUUAAACUGUAGCGCCUCCAGUCAGUGCACUAGAUGAAACUUUAGACACCCCAGAUUUUGUUGGUUCGUUGAUUUCCCUUUCUGUAGCAGCCUCCAGCAUGAAUGCACGCACAUACCAGUGAUGGCAUUAGCCGUGGCUGCCACGAUUUACAAAUGUCCUCUCCCCAGCUGGAGCUGCUCUUGCCUCUCGAAAUGCUAUUAUUAAGGGUUUAUAAUACUGAAUUUAAUUUUUGAACUGACCAAUGCAAGGCUCUAUUAAAAAGAAAGUUUAAAAAAAAAAAGAAUGCAAAAGAGUAAUCAUUGCUUGUUUGCUCCCUGUUGUCAUCUGUGGUCUUGAAAAGUUCUCAUUUGAAUGUGGCAGAACAAAGACCCUUUGGUCCUCAUCAGUGUCUGAAAUGUUCAGUGAUUCCUCUCUCUUUUGUAUCAGUGAGGUCCUUUGUACUGUGCUCCUGACCUUUCUCAGAGCAGGGUGCACUGAACCAUGAUGGUGGGGCUUGCUUGCUUCAGAGUCAUUUGUGGACUGUGAGAAUUGGCCUGAAAUUUGGUGGGUGCUAAGUGUAUGGCUUGGAAACUGUUCUUCUCUAGCCCAAUUGACACCUGUGAACGAUAACCUAUCCAUAACAGCGAGGGUAGCGCCAAUCAUUUUCGAAACGGAUUUGUGAUAAAAUGUCCAUCAUCUCUGAAAUGGCAGAGGUGGUUGGUAAGAGCCUGCCAGAGAGAACAGGCUUUCCAAGAAAUAACCAUCUGAAAAUACUUGGCUCCCAGGAGGACAGGUUAUUUAAAAUAGUGCUUUACUGGACAUUUAAAACACAUCAAACCGCUUUCUCAUUUAAAUUGUCACCUCCUGACAUUUCCGGGGAUCCCAAAUUUGGAAGGAAAAACCUAGCAUGGUGUUUCUUGUGGUUGUCCUCUCAAGCACAUUUGAUCCAGGGUUCAGAGUUCGAUGUAUAGAGAAAGAGUGUUUCUAAGCCAUUGACAAUUUUCUUUAUUUCAAGUUGUGCUUCUUUCUCCUACCACAUGGCUGUAAGUCAAAGAUGUGGAAACAUGAAAUUAUGAUGCUUCUCCUAGCUACUGGCCUCCUGCCCCACUAAUGGUUAAUUGGCCCAGCUUAAAGCCUGGUGGUGAUGAGUACUAUGUCCAGAAAAAGAAAUGUUCAGAUUCCGUGACAAAGCUGCAUUUUAUAAAAAUAUCGGAGACCCCAAAAUGAACUUCAUGCUGACCAUUUCCUUCUCCCUUCUAUGUGCUUUCCCUUGCAAAGCCCUUCAAAUCCCCUGUCUCCUCCCCUCCUGCACCUCUUGUGCCCUUUUUACAUCUUAGAUUGCCUGAUUAUAACAGGGUAAAAAGAAAGCCAACCUCACGCACGAUUUGCAGAACUGAUUCCUACUUUUAAAAAAUCUUCUUUGAAUCCAGAAGCCAGAGAAGAUUUUUUUAGGGGCUUUAGUUUGGGAUAAAGCUUCCAGAUUAGCCAUGUCUAUUUGCAUCAAAGGGGAAAUAAAUGGGACUUUCAGGGCAGCUCACCUAGUGCAUUCAGAACAUUCCGCCCAUAGCCCCCAUGCCUGAAUUUGAUGGCAAAGUCAAAAGAAAUUAACUCAACCGGCAACAAUGACAACAUCUUAGUGAUCAGUUUCAUUGGUUCAAAGUGAUUUCCUCGAUGGAAGUCGCUUCAUAAAAUAUAAAAUACAGUGCACAGUGCUUUUGUCCUCUCUUUUGCAUGAGUUUGGUUUUAGGAGAAGGAAGAAGGUAGGGAAAGUCAGAGAGAUGCAACGUAUUUAACUGCAAAAAGCAGGUUCAUUCUUUCUUUCUUUUUAAAAGAUCUGACGAGGGCCGGCAUUUCUGGCCAUAAUUUUGCACCCGGAUCUUUGCCAAAGUGAAAAUUCGUUAAGUGGAACCUGUUUGAAAUGUACUUGUGGAAGCUUUCCCUGGCAUCUUCCAGAAGUGGCCACCUGCCAAGCGUGGGGUGGGGGCAGGAGGAGAGAAUUCGAAUUCUGAGUCUGGGUUACAUUUCGGUAAACAUGGUGAUAUCUCAGUUUGGAAAACUAGUGGGGCUGGCCUGAGCGUCCAUCAAUGCCUCUUUGAUGGCCUACUUUCCUCAGUGAGGAUCUUUGGGAAUACUUGAGAUAGAACAACAAAAAUGUGUCCAAGGAAACAAAAACUGCUUGUAAAUGUGAGAUCCUGUGACUAAUGGCCUGAGGCUUCAGGGUUUUCUCUUGCUUUUAACACUCUUACGUCCCCUCUGCUGGUUCCUAAUAGAUCCCGGAAGGAACAGGGGGAAAAUCAAGCUGCAAUUCACUUUCUUAUGCGCGCCCUUCCAAUAGAGUACUGUAUUCUUCAGGUGUUUUGCAUUUGCGUUUGUAAGUCCUCGGGAAACAGGUAUCAGAAAAUGGGAGAGCGAAAUCCUGGGCCAUCACUUCACUAAUAUCCCAAACCAGAUACUCUUUUCAAACAGGGCUCCCUCUCAGCGGUCAUGAGGGAAGGGUGAUAACGUUCUUUGUUGGGGACUGUUUAUACAAUUUUUUUCAACUGUAAGCUUUGGAAUCGUAAAUUGCUUUGACUCCAGCUUCUGUCUACUGCCAUAAAAUGGACCCCACGUCAGAAUAAUGAGGGUGGUAUGUGUGCACAUGCCAUGCACGUGUGCAGAUGUACCUAUUGUACCUUCGCAGAAGGAAAACAGGCUACUGAUGUUUAAGAGGAGUAGCCACCAGUGCCUAAUAUCUUUUGGGGGGGAUGGAUGCUUAUAAUGCCAGUAUAUUGAAACCACACUGGGAGUUCCACAUGGAGGGGAGGGGCGGAGGGUGGGGAGAGGGGACAUUUUAAUCCUAGGCCUUUGGACUGGAGGCAGAAUGAUUUCUGCAAAUCUAGCUCCUGAAAGGCUUUGGGGCUCAUUGGCUGGUUCUCAAACUUUUGAUUUGAUUUUAGUUUUUUCCAGCAUGCAUUUCCUAUCUAAACCCAGACUUGGUUUAAUUUCCUUAUCUUUCACUUCUGCUUCAUUCCAGGGAGGAAAAAUACACCUAUUAUGGCCAAGAUCUCCUUGCUAACACAGAGGCAAAAAUAAAUGUUUAAUGUUUUUGCAGCCUCCCCUUCCUUUCCGUAAAUACCCCCCAAACCCCCUUCUCUCUCAUCACUCUGUCCCCAUUCCCGCCACACAACUCCCCAGCCACCACCACUUUGCUUUCCAGUCUCUAUUCUCCUCUUAACAGUUGCUUGAAGAAAUUUGUUUUUGCACUAUACAUUUUCUUUUUGCCAGAUGUGUCUAACAAGUGUGUUCGGAGAGACCUCCUCCCAGUCCCCUCCCCUCCCCCGCCUCCCCCGGUCACAUUCUCUCAGGCCUUCUCUGGUAUUUAUAAUAUAUCACAGAAGUACCCAGUCUUAUAGCCCUCGGUUAUGCCUUUUUUUGACAUUUUAUUUUUUUUAAGCUUUUUAUAUAUAUAUAUAAAUAUAUUACUUUGUCAAGUUUUUUUGCUGUACAAAAGUCUUAAGAUUUAAAACUAUUAUUUGUAUUAUAUGAUGGUGGUAUGUUAAUGUUACAAAAUUAUUAAUGAAGAAAAAAUUUAUUUUUGUUACUGGUCUGUUUCAUAAUUCUUUUUUAAAUUGGUAUAUUGUAAGAUAUCUAUGCAAAAAAUGUUAUGUGACGCAUUUUUAUUUAAGAAUGUAAUAUGUGUAAUAAACAGUAGAAUGUGUUUGGC